rnacentral:rRNA from 1 species
UACGGAGGGUGCAAGCGUUAAUCGGAAUUACUGGGCGUAAAGCGUGCGUAGUCGGUUAUCUAAGUCGGAUGUGAAAUCCCCGGGCUCAACCUGGGAAUUGCAUUCGAUACUGGAUAGCUAGAGUUCGGCAGAGGGAAGUGGAAUUUCGGGUGUAGCGGUGAAAUGCGUAGAUAUCCGAAGGAACAUCAGUGGCGAAAGCGACUUCCUGGACCAGAACUGACGAUCAGGCACGAAAGCGUGGGGAGCAAACAGG